GCGCCGGGGUCUCAGACCCUGAGGAGACUGAGCCCAGCGCCAGGCGACCGGUACCCGCCGCCGCCGCCCCUGCGCGGGAGAUCCACCCUGCUUAGUCCGCGCCCGAGCCCCCGUCCGUGGGAACAGACAAGGGGCCUCCGCAGCGCCUCACAACCCCCGACCAGGUCCAGCGGCGGGGGACUCGGCCGUGGAGGGCGCUGUUCGGUCUGCAUGGCUCCCCCCAUCAGCGGGAGGCUACACCCCCCACCAGCAGGGGCAAGAGGAGCAGCGGGAUGGGAGCAGGCCAACGUCCUGCGGCCUGGUUGAGCUCGCACUGACAAUCGCAGCUCAGGCGCUCAGGACUGCCAGGACCCAGAGGAUUCACACGACAGCCCCGGCUGAAGCCCAGCUCCUCAUCAACCGGUGAGCCGCCUGCCAGCUCCUGCUCCAGCUGCUGAGAAGCCUGAAGAGACCAAGACAGAGACACAGCCCCGCAGCACCACAGGGAGGCCCCAGUUACCCCAUGCGGAUGAGUUUCAUGGCCAUCUCUAACUAAGGUCAGCACUGUUCAGGGCAGGUUCAUAGGUAACGACCUGGUGAACUGAAAAGCAAAUUUCUCUCGGUCCCUAAAGCCACUCGCUGAGCGUCUAAGCAUGAAACGUGAGACCUAAGAGGGGUGGCAAACACGUUUUCAUUCACUUCUCACCAAACCUGUCUCCUAUGCCCAUUUUACAGAGGAGGAAACUGAGGCACAGAGACUUCAAGGUAGAUGGCCAGGUACCCUGGCUCUGCCAGCCUGCCUUUCAGCAGGGGCUUCAAUGGUCUUGCUCAAAUCACAUCCGCACUGACGAAUUUCCCUGUCGACUGUAGGUUCUCUUGUUGCUCUGAGUCCUUUUUCUGAGAAACUGGGGGUAGUUUGGUGUUUCAAUCAGGGCAAUAUCUUUCAUCUCUCACCUUCUUCCCUGCCUUGUCUCUCCUUGGCCAUACUGGGCUUCCGGGCCCUGCACCCCUUCCUGCACCCUUGUCACGCCAUGCAUCUGGGGGAAGUUACACAACCACAGCUGUGCAGACCCAGCCACACAAGAUUCCCAGAGGGCAGUCCACAGGGGCCCCGGCAACUCCUAUCAUCCUUGCUCCAGGCUUUGGCAGGCAGCUCCUGCACGCUCCUCUCAGCCCCAUUCCAGGCCCACAGCCCCUCAAGCUUCCACCCAGCCCCAGCCACUAACUCUCAAAUGACAAAUGUGUUUCCUGUUUCAUCAGGACAGGACAUCGAUGUCAUCUGUAACUUCCAGUGCACUGGGGCACACAGCUGCAUCUCCCCAUGCUCACCUCCUGCCUCUUGCUCUGCCCAGUGUGAGGACUCAGCCUGGAUCACCUCCUCCAGGACAAGAACAACCUACCAUCAUCUGUCCGUCCAAUCUACCCACCCAUCCAUCUCUGCCUCUGGGCAUGCAUCCGUCCGUCCAUCCAUCCCCGCCUCUGUGCAUGCAUCUGUCCAUCCAUCCCCGCCUCUGUGCAUGCAUCUGUCCAUUCAUCCCCGCCUCUGUGCAUGCAUCUGUCCAUUCAUCCCCGCCUCUGUGCAUGCAUCUGUCCAUUCAUCCCCACCUCUGUGCAUGCAUCUGUCCGUCCAUCCAUCCCUGCCUCUGUGCAUGCAUCUGUCCAUCCAUCCCCGCCUCUGUGCAUGCAUCUGUCCAUCCAUCCAUCCCUGCCUCUGUGCAUGCAUCUGUCCAUCCAUCCAUCCCUGCCUCUGUGCAUGCAUCUGUCCAUUCAUCCCUGCCUCUGUGCAUGCAUCUCUCCAUCCAUCCAUCCCUGCCUCUGUGCAUGCAUCUGUCCGUCCAUCCAUCCCUGCCUCUGUGCAUGCAUCUGUCCGUCCAUUCAUCCCUGCCUCUGUGCAUGCAUCUGUCCAUUCAUCCAUCCCUGACUCUGUGCAUGCAUCUGUCCAUCCAUCCAUCCUUGCCUCUAUGCAUGCAUCUGUCCGUGCAUCCAUACCUGCCUCUGUGCAUGCAUCUGUCAGUCUAUCAAUCCCCGAUCCCUUCUUUGUAAUGGUGUUGAGUGCUCACAACUCCCUCAUCCUAAGACGCUCGUUGGAUCCAUUCCCUCCCGUCACCCCAUGCUGCUCUCUGCCCUCCCUUCCCGGUCAAGUUCUCCAGCCAGUGGUCUCAACUCAAUCUUCACUUCCCCCGCUCCUCUCACACCUAUCCCCACUGCAUUCUAAAUUCUUCCCCAACGCGCUGGGCCUACAGGCACUAAAAAGGUCACUUUGUCCCUGGAUGACCAAACACAGGCCAAUGUAACUUACUGGGCUUGUUUUGCCCCAGCCACAGCUGACCACUUCCUCCUUCACUCUUGUUGUUGAUCACCUUUGGGCUUAGUCUUUCUCCAUCUCUGUUGAGUCCUUCUCCCCUGCCACCUACUCCUUCAUGCUGGGGUUCUCUGUAGCUCUGUACCUGACAGUCACGUUCCACCCUUUCCUCCCAGAAGCUCGCCAACCCCCGUGGACUGCUGGCUCUCAAGGCGACCGCUAGCCCAGCUCCGACAGCAGCUGACAAUGCACAGUAUGCGGCCCGGGACAGGCCCUGUGCUGAGAGGCAUGGGUGAAUCGCUCAUUUCAUCGGCAAGCCCACGCCACCAGCAGGCGCCGUUCUCCUCGCAUUUCUCAGGUCUACGCUCCCUCCCAUGGCCCAGGUGGACUGUGAACCUUCUGGGAGUAGGGCUGUAAUCACUUCAUCCUGGGAUGAGCUCAGCCUGGCAGGAGGCGCUCAAGAUGUGCUACGU
rnacentral:lncRNA from 1 species